GAUGAACGCUGGCGGCGUGCCUAAUACAUGCAAGUCGAGCGAACAGACGCGGAUCUUGCUCCUCUCACGUUAGCGGCGGACGGGUGAGUAACACGUGUAUCCCCUCCCUAUAUGACUGGGAUCACUUCGGGACACCGGCUCUAAUCCCGGAUAAUCUAUUGCACCGCAUGGUUCAAUAGUGAAUGACGGUUUUUCUGUCACUUCUCGCUGGAUCCGCGCCGCAUUAGCUAGUUGGUAAGGUAACGGCUUACCACGGCGACGAUGCGUAGCCGACCUGAGAGGGUGAUCGGCCACACUGGAACUGAGACACGGACCAGAGUACUACGGGAGGCAGCAGUAGGGAAUCUUCCGCAAUGGGCGAAAGCAUGACGGAGCAACGCCGAGUGAGUGAUGAAGGUCUUCGGAUCGGAAAACUCGGUUAUGAGGGAAGAACAAAUGUGGAAGUAACUAUGCACGGCGUGACGGUACCGAAUAAGAAAGCAACGGCUAACUACGUG
rnacentral:rRNA from 1 species